UACGUAGGGGGCGAGCGUUGUCCGGAGUUACUGGGCGUAAAGGGCAUGCAGGCGGUCAGGCGCGGUUUGUGUGACAGCGGAUGGCUUAACUAUCCGAGGAUACGAGAUACGGCGUGACUUGAGAGCGCGAGAGGGACACGGAAUUCCGGGUGGAGUGGUGAAAUGCGUAGAGAUCCGGAGGAACACCGAAGGCGAAGGCAGUGUCCUGGCGCGUAUCUGACGCUGAGGUGCGAAAGCCAGGGGAGCGAACGGG
rnacentral:rRNA from 1 species